UACGUAGGGUGCGAGCGUUAAUCGGAAUUACUGGGCGUAAAGUGUGCGCAGGCGGCCGCGCAAGUCGAGUGUGAAAGCCCCGGGCUUAACUUGGGAAUUGCGCUCGAAACUACGUGGCUAGAGUGUGGCAGAGGGAGGUGGAAUUCCACGUGUAGCGGUGAAAUGCGUAGAGAUGUGGAGGAACACCGAUGGCGAAGGCGACAUCCUGGACCGGUAUUGACGCUGAGGCGCGAAAGCCAGGGGAGCAAACGGG
rnacentral:rRNA from 1 species